UGCACCUACCUGUGAUUGUUGUUAAUAAUAUUUAAGCGGUCUGAGUGUACCGCACGGUAGCAGCUGCAUACAAGAUUUUCAGCUGCUGAAAGCUGUUAUAUCAAUCGAUCGUUCCUGAGAGUGUGACAGUAAUAAAGCGCUCGUCAAUGUGCAUUAGUUAGUAGUAAUCACAGAAAAGCGUCAGUGGUCAGUGAUGACUACCGUCAGAAAGAGGCUUUCACUACAUCACCCCUUUAUAGAAGAUUAAUGAGGGCUUAUGCACAUUGUGAUAAAGUUCGAGCCGCCGAUUUUAUAAACAGGUUGUGAAUGCACGAUAAUUGCUAUCUAGUUAUCAUAAACUAUAUUGUAAUUAAAUUAGGUGGACAAUAAGCUUUCAUCGCUCUCAACGGCAAGUUUUUUUUUUUACAUUUGCGCUUUGACUUGUACAAUGUAAAAUGCCAACUUGAAUUAAUGCCGCUUCAUAGGCCUUCUACAGAAAACCCAACUAGGUUUAGCGAAACCCGUACAAAGUAAUGUUUAAUGGCUUGAGCAAAAAAGGCUUUCAAACUUAAAGACGACUGACUGCAAGUCACAGGUUUGCCAGUUGUUUUUUGAGAUCGAGAAUUUACCCGUCAGUCACAGGAGUCUUUUGAUGAUCGUGCGUUCAACCAAUACUUUUCGCUGAACACGUUUACCUACGUAAUAAAUAGCGAAAAGCAAAUAGUAAUAUUGGAUUAUCUUCACAGAUUGGCAUAUAUAUAUUUGACGUACCAAGCAUGUGUUUAAAUUUUAGUUUGUACUGAAUAUCUACAACACUUACUAUACUGAAAACUGGUAUUGGUACUAUGGUUAACUGCCAUACCGUGACGGCCAUCAUUACCAAAAAAGGUUUUUCUGUUCAAAAUAAUCCAACAAAGUUUAGAAAAUCGGUUGAAUAGAAUGAUCCAAAUAUCAGUCUGAGUAGUAUAUUAUUAGCAACGAAUCAAAGAAGUAAUCAUCACAUAGUUUUUUCACUUCGACCUCUUGCAGAUUACUCAUUUUUAAACUUGAAUUUUAGGUGUCGCCGCUGCUUCUUCAAGUUGUCAUACUAUAACAGAAUGCAUAUAAAUGUAUAGAAUUGUAUUUUCUUUCAUGCUUGCAGUAUAGGAAUUACUUUUGUCUCAAAUUACUAUAUGCCGAAUUGUAAUGCCGAAAUGUAACUUUUUCGGCUGUAUUAAAAAAACAUCUGAAAUUAUGAAGUAAGCUAAAUGUGUAUUUCUAUACGAGACCUUUAAUAGGAUUGUGCCGUACUCGAUACGGAGCAGGAUUCAGUCUCGCCUACUACUGGACGCUACGCCACUCAUAUGACCCAGCCAUAGGCUCAAAAUAUAAAUGUCAGGUGUACCCAGCAAAUGUUGUUCUUACAGCAACCCUGGAAUCCCUGAAGAAUCAUACUGACUGUUGGGUGUUUGCAGUCUGCAUGUUUAAAUAAAGGUUUCAAGUGUAAAGUCGGUAGCUGCUUUAGGACUUACAGCAUACGACGCACGUAUGCUUAAAACCUCUAGCUAAUUUUUUGUGGAACAGUAACUUGACAGUACUUGUGACUUUAGAUUCUGGUGCAGGCCGCCGUCGCAAUUUCAAACAUGAAUGACUUCUUUGCAGGCCAGGGAGAAGUCGCAGAACUACAAUUCGGAAACUAUAUCGGACGACUCAGCCGUGAUGACGCGGUCUACAAAUAUUAAAAAUGAAAGAACUGAUCCAAUGUUUGCCGUUGAACAGAAGCUAAAGCAAAUGUGUCUUCGAGGCUCACCUCGAGGUGACAUAGCUAGGUAUUAUUAUCUUAAUUUUAUAUUCUUUUACGCUAGUCAAACAUAAGUCGAAUUUUAGAAAAAAAACGGCUCGUAAAAUCGUAACAUCAGAUUGAUAGUGGAUACUGCUUCAUUACUAAGAGCUUUGCUUUAUUGUCCUCAUUAUUAUUACUGUUUUUUAAAUAUUAUUAUCGUUUCUUAUUUUAGUUGCUUUGAAAUUAUAUUCUCCGAAUUACUCUUAAUUCUUUCUCUUACUUAACAUCUAAGAUUAGCGUUUCUACCGAAAAAAAAAAAAAAGCAUCACCUUCAGUAUAUUUUCUGUUUAACCUUUUUCAAACUUCAAAAACGUGGGAAGGCCGUUUGGGACAUUUGCACGAGCGAUGUGCUGUAAUUAUGGAGUUAGUUGAAGAAAUAGGCUCUGCCUCCAGAGCGAAUCCCUCUAAGUUGAUUGGAUCUACCUCUACGACAAGGACGUUGAUGCCGAGUUUUGGCUUCUCAAACAACCAUCCUUCUUCCAAUGUGUUUUAAGAGGGUGUCCGUCAAACUUGAAACGUCUAUCAGAGCGGGCUAUAUUCUUGGGGUCAAAUGCGCGAUUUUUUGGAAGAUUAGUAAAUACCUGAAUGAUUUUGAAUUCAUAGUUAGAACACCACUCUAAGGUACUCCUCUUUUAAAUAUCUUGGAUAUCGUAGUUUGCUUCUGCAGUUUUCUGUUUCGGCGAACAGCAAAUCAAAUGAAACCAAAAAAAGUGAUUUUGUCACAUAAAACAUAUUAAUUUAAGAUCUGAGCUUAUUGUAAAUCUAUCUUACAUUAUAUAGAUGUAUAUACAUUUCUAGAUCAAUCUCGUAUUCGGAUCAUUUUAUUAAAUGAUUGUGCGGCUCGACAUUUUCUUCGUUUGCGCAAACGAAAUCCCGCCUGUGGCGAAAGGUACGCUGAUGCUGCCUGCAGAUGAGAGGACCCCGGUUUUUUGUUCAGCAGGUGCCCGCUCGAAGGACGGAGCUCGGCGUCCGUCUACCAGAACCUAUCGCCAUUGUGUAAAAAAACUACGCCUUACCUAGUGACUUUACGCUGAGGUAGUAAAGUCAUAUGAAAUAAUUUAAACCUUAAAAAAGGUAUUUACCUAUAAUCUAGCACCUGUCGGUUACCCUCAUGUUCCCUCUCGACGGCUCUUUGUAAUAGUGUAAUUUUUGGGGCCUUUAAUUUGAUUAGUUUGCUGCAUAUUAUUUAGUGACAUAAAGUCGUUAAAUGUAUUCUAGCUACCAACGACAACCUGAUAGCAACGCAGCAGCAAAGCGACGUUACCGAUGCGGUGACCAUGAUGGGGAUAACGAACAGUAGUAGCAAUGAUGACAUUCGCUGAAAUUGUCGUAAGUACAGUUUCUUUCCGUUAGGGUUGUGAAAAAGGCCGCCCGUGCAUAAUUCGUGGUGGAAGCGGUGUAUCGCGAAACGGGCUUCAACGUGGUACUUCAUUCGCUCCAGCUGCUUCAAGCCAUUAUUUCUCAUCGCUCCAUGUUGUGAAAUGCGCCACUUAUUUUUACAAACUGUUCCAUUCUGUCGAGGCACUCGAAUAAAACCUCGCUUGCCGGGAGUUCACAGGGAAAUCCUGUCUUCGAUCAGUAGUACGGUGUCGGCAAUAGUUGAAAUAGACAUUUCCUGAUCAUGCGAUGAAAGGUUAUAGCACGUUUCAAAAAGAAGGUCUUAAUAGAGUAAUGCAGAAUUCUUAUUAGUAAAGUGCUUUCAAAUUAUAUUUAACCCGUAAGAUGGUGCCUGGGCCAGAUUUAGUUUAAGUAAGCAAAGCAUUGUAGUAGGAGAGAGGCGAUUUUGGACUUCGAUUGCACAUGAUGCGGUCAACGCUUUUUUUCUGUUUUCUACAUCUUUUGUUGAUAUGCGAGGUGGAACUCUUUUACAAGAGUUGAGUUACAAGAAUCUGUUGAUGUGCAAGCAGAAAUAUCUUGCAAGAGAUAGUGUAUUACCAGCCACGAUCCCAAAUUGACUGUUAGUUCGAAUUUGUUAUUGCCGUCAAAGAUCUGAUCAAGGCGUGCUAAACAUAAAAUGUGCUAGGGCUGUAUAUUAUCAAACCAUAAGAGUAAAGCGUAAUUUCAAUUAAGUUUCUUAAGCUUUUUAUACUGUAGGGAAGGUUUUCCACUGUAAGACACGGUAAGACUGAGAACAAAAAAAGGUUUAGAUGUUGAUUCAGAUCUUGAGCCAAGCCUGUUUUUCAUAAGAAGAUAGACAGCUCACCCAGUUUAUCGUUUAUGCUCAUUUUAUUCUCAGCUAGGAUCGUAAUCAGCAGGUCGAGUACGCUUCGUGGUCAGCCCAUGUACGUUAAGAUAGGCAGAACUAGAUCUCUAGGUGGGAUGAUUAAUGUGACCUUAACAGAGCGCGCAGUCUAGCCAAGGGCCAGAACGAGGUCGCUCUUGAGGAAUUCAUUACGGCUUUCGUCCAGGCUCGUUGUUCUGUGGUUAUACAGGCUUUCGAGGACCUGCAGGACCUCCGGUACGGGAACCUCUUCAUAGGCUUACUAACUGCAGAAAACAAUGAUACCAUUCGAGGAGCCGUAUCACUCAUCGCGAACACACAAACGCAGUAAUUUAUUAAUGCAGCUUGUCAAACAUACGGUCAAGCUAUGACGUGUUAACUGUUUGUAUAACUGCCGGCCUGGGACCGCUAUUUGCCGAUUCUCCGAAAUUAUCAAGUAUUUCGUGUUUUGUGUGGCGUAUGUUCUUUGGCAGAUUGUAUUGGACGCUGCGGCUGGAGAGUAAGCACUCUUGUUAGGUGUCUAAAAGUGUCCUGAGCUUUUGGAGCGAAGCAACAAAAACUAUCGAUGCUUUCUAGGGGUAGCGGGUCAGACAGACGACUGUAGAAUCUUGAUGAGAUGGCGCAUAUACUCUCCUAUGUUGAUGAUAUAAGUUAUUGAACGAUUUUGUGUACUUGCCCACGUAGGAUUUCCAUAUCCAGGCGAUGCGGCAAAGCUUGGCUUCUGGAGGAUUUUACUAACACAACAAGAUCUACAAUAAUAGGGAUAUCGCUUGUAUAUAUUUUCUCUUUUCCAGCAACCUAUUUCUUUUGAAAAAGUAAAUUUUACUUCAGGUAAAAUUCGUUUUAUACGCUUAAUCAACUGUCCAACGUGUCGCCCAUGCCGACCCUGACUCCGCGGCGCGAACAUAAGCUGUUAUGGUUAAUGAUAGUUAUUUAUUUUGUCAAGAGUAAAAGUGCCCUUAGCUGUUAUUUUAUUGAAUGCGCUUAACGACGUUCUAUAUAGUUAAUAGUUUUUUAUGCGACUUUUGAGAGAUUCGAGGAAGGGAAAAUGAAAGAUUUUGAGAAGAAGCUUAGAUUUUGUAUAUAAAAUUCCACUUGGGUCGUCGAAAUAAGUUCCAACGGUUAAUAAGAUUUUUGUUACCCACUGCACCUUUGUACAUCUUCUGUGCUUAUUAAGUGUUUUAAUAAAUAUCGGUUGACGCACGCUUUCUAUUUACGGAUUAAAGAAGGGAUAUUUUGAAAGUGACUAAUGAGUGAUUUAGGUAUUAAAUUUAAGAUGUAAUUGCAGUAAAUAAUGGCUGUGCUGGAUAAAUAUGACCAUGCGAAAUGCUUUUGCAGUACCUGUUUGUACUUAAAUACUGUCUUAAAAACGACUAAUAAAAAAGUCCGAAGUUCAGAAGCCCUUUUCCGUAUAUAUGCGGUAAUAGUAACACGUGCCGUUGCAGAUAUAAGAAACAAUCUACUUUUUGAGCAUAAUUUGAAAGUUUCCAUAUCAAAUGGUGGAUAUUUUGCAGAUGCCCGGAAAAGCCUGCAAAGCGUCCAUUCAGUAAAAUCCAACAGAUCACAUCUGCGACGAGAUUUUGUUUCAUUGUUGAUGUCAGGCCAUGGACUGACAGGCUGGUCAUCUGGAGGUGUUACUAACAAACCUUACAAAGAAAAGCUGAUUAAUAACAGCUUCUUUGCAGAUCUGAUUGGACAUUCAAUAGAGGGGUCUGGAGAAGCGAUCUUGCUAGUAAUACUCUGGAAACUCCUGGGCCCCAAAUGGUACGGACGGGUCCUGCCAUAACUAUUUUACAUCAGGUCGCAAUUAAAACCAAAACAAUCACUGACGAAAACCGCCAGCAGAUAACCAGAAUGAUCUAAGUGCAUGUAGAGAACUUCAAAUAAACAGGACAGGGGAAGCAGAUGUAUAAAUCCUUCAACUUGUGGAGUCUCUGCGCUGUACAAAGGUCCGGCUUCACUGGAAAGUAAAACCGGGACAGCCUAUUCAAGCUAAUCGGUUGAACGGAGUGUUCAGCGCUUAUACCACUAGAUGCCAAAGUGAAACGCCUUAGUAACUUAGUUCAGGUAGAACCAGUUCCACCAGUACAUCCACAAAGUCUUAGAAAUAGUACGCCAAAUUUUUAUUUGAGGUAGGCCAUAAGAACAGGGUAAUUUGCUAGGGGGUUUCUAUGUAGGGAGCGGUAUGACAGUAAAGAAAAUGCCGGAUCGUCGCAUUGCACUUUUGGUAGCGGCAUAAAAACAGGACGAGAAGUGAAGGCCAGAGGUUAGUUUUUUAACCCGGCCUAACGCAAUAGUUCUUUUAUAGUGAUUAGUGGAUUAAUUUUCUAUGUAUAUUGCAUUGGUUUAGCAGAAAAUUAUAGUUGCGGCUUUAAUAAAGUAAAAGUUGCAUCAGUGCUUUACGCGUGAAUUGAUAGUCAAUCAAUAUUAACAAUGUAGAUUGAAAAUUUCAGGCUCUUAACAAAGUUAUGAUGUAUUAGCACAACAUAUAUAUACAAAAAUUAAAUCAAUGUGUAAACACGCUGAGAUAUAGAAAAACGUUAAGUUUUAUUUAGGUAGAAAUACUGUGCAAUAGUUGAAUAGCAAAAAUAAAUUUGCGUUUAAGUAGCAUUCGCAUUGAAUACCUAUUGCUUGGACGA